UAAUUAAUUAAUUGGCAGAAAAAUGCAUUAGAAUUAGAAUCUAAUCAAACUUUUA
rnacentral:tRNA from 1 species